rnacentral:rRNA from 1 species
AUGGGUAAGAAGCUAGUUUUGAAAGAACUGUAUGGUGAUUGGGAUAGCAUCUUUGACAAUUUGUAUAGGUUUAAAGCACAAGUUGAAAUCUCUUGCCCCGGUAGCAUAGUUCAGAUUGAUCAUUACACUAUAAAAGGAAAAAUCAGGUUUAGAAGGUUCUUCUUUGCUUUGAAACCUUGCAUAGACGGAUUCCUUACUGGUUGCAGGCGGUAUUUGGCAGUAGGUAGCACAUUCUUAACAGGCAGGUUCAAGGGGCAGCUGGCUAGUGCUACCGCUAUAGAUGGCCAUAAUUGGAUGUAUCCACUUUGUUUUGGAAUUUUUCAUUCUGAAACAAAUGAGAAUUGGAUCUGGUUCAUGCAAUUGCUUAUGCAAGCCAUUGGAUCACCAAGGGGUUUAGCCAUAAGCACUGAUGUCGGGAAGGCGAUGAUGACAGGGGUAAAGGAAGUUUUCCCAGAGGUAGAACAUAGGGAGUGCAUGUUUCACUUGGUGUCAAAGUUCAAGAAAAAAUAUCAUGGAAAGGUAUUUGAUAACCACCUUUGGGCUGCAGCUUACUCAUGGAGCACAUAUAUAUUUGAGAAAAAUUGGGUUGCAAUGGAGACAGCAAAGCCAGCGGCAACUGCACAUCUUAGGAAGUGGCACACUAGGUUGUGGAAUAGGAGUCAGUUCUCAACCAUUUGCAAGGUGGACUAUGUAACCAACAACCUGGCAUAGUGCUUCAAUAAUUGGAUUAAGCAACACAAGUCUUUGAAGUUGAACGACUUAAUGGACAAGCUUAGGCAGAUGAUUAUGAUCAUGUGGAAUCGCCGAAGAAAAGUAGCAAAGAAGUUGGUUGGCUUAAUUUUGCCCCACAUAAUUAAGAAGUAGAACGCAACGAGUAGAGAGUUAAACUUGGAGGUGGUAGAAAGCAAGGAAGAAGUUGCUGAAGUUACUCAAUUGGGAGGCAUCGGGUUUAGGUUUGUCAUCAACUUGCAUGACAACACAUGUUAUUGUAGACAAUGACAAGUUUCCGGCCUUCCUUGCAAACAUGCUCUAGCAUUCACCACAUCACUUGUCAAUGCGCAUAUACAAAAUUAUGUGGACUCGUAUUACUCCAUUGACAAGUUUAGAGCAGCUUAUAGCCAACUAAUCCCUGCUAUGUAUGACAAGACCCAGUGGCCCGAAUCUAACCAUGGAUUCUUCAUGCAUUCACCCUUGUUCAAAGUUGUAGCUGGCCGGCCUAUGGUGCCAUUUGACAGCCCUGCGAUGGGCACUAGAAGCAAAAAAACUAACCCAGCAAGCCCCACAAUGAGCACAAGAAGCAAACGAAGGCUUAGCUUGUGA